ensembl:snRNA U6 U6 spliceosomal RNA
GUGCUCGCUUCAGCAGCACAUCUACUAAAACUGGAACGAUGCAGAGGAGAUUAGCAUGGCCCCUGCACAAGGAUGACAUGCAAAUUCAUGAAGCAUUUCAUAUUUUU